AGCCGGCCUGCAUCUCCCCCCUCCGCCCGAGCCAUCGUCUCCCCCGCCACACGCACACCCAAUCCCCUCCCCUCCAACCCUAGCCGCCCCGCUCCCCUCCCUCUCCACGGCGCCGCCGCCUCCUCCCCUUCUGCCCUGCUCUCCACCGUGCCGCCUCUUCCUCCUCUUCACUGCCCUCUCUAGCGGCGGCAAAGAUCUGCCGACAAAAGGGAGACGACGGCGACGCUCGAUCCGAUCUGCUGAAGAGAAAAGAUGAGAGGGAGAGAGACAAGGAAGGAGAGGAGGGAGAAAGAUAGAGGAAAGAGGAGAGCGAGGUGUGACGGCAGAUGAGAGAGGGUCACCGGAAGGAGCGUGACGACCUGCAGACAAAGGGCGGCGGCGGCGCCGCUCGAUUUGAUCUGCGGGAGAGAGAAUAUGAGAGGGAGAGAGAGAAGGAAGAACAUGAGAGGAGGGAGAAAGAGAGAGGAAAGAGGAGAGGGGGUUGACGGCCGACAGGAGAGGAUCACCGGAAGGAGUGCCGCCGGCUCGUUGUCUUUCACACCGCACUAUAGUAGAGCUAUCUCUGUACAACCCACACGCACGCAGGGGUGUUGCGAGGACUUAGAGGUCGUGCGCCGGCCGAAGCAGCAAGAGCAAUGAUCUGGCGGCCUCUCUUCUCUGCCACAGUUCCCUUCUCUUCAUUCAGCUCUCGAGACGUCGACCUGCAGGUGUAGGUGCUUGUGUCUCAACCAUCUUUCUCCUGUAUCCUCAGUUCCUCACAUUUUUUAUUUCUGAUUCGUGUGUUACCAUAUUAUUGCUAGGCUAGAGUUUGUCCGUGUGUUGUUUAUGCUCAGGUUUAAUCUCCACAAAAGAUGGCCCACACUACUUUACAAGGAACUGCUGUUGUCCAGUUUAGAGGCAAACCAUUGUUUAACAACGGAUAUGCGGAGGCGUUUUUAUGGAUGUGCAUUUCCCCUGAAUCUAGACAGCUAUUCAACCUGUUGCGGACAUUUUUGGUGGAAUUCAAUGCUUCAGCAGAUGUGCCGGCGCUGCUGCCUGCGCCUUCUCCAGCGCCGCCUCGGUCACCAGCGCCAACUCCGGUCAGUGGUCUCCGGCACGCCCUCGCGGCUGGACGAGGCAGAGAUGUGCCGAGGAUCCCCACGCCCUUGGUUCUCAUGUUCUCUGCUCCCAGCCGCAGCAGAUCGUGCCAAAGGCAUUAUCGUGAGGAGGGAAGCGGCUGCAGAUUAAGGACAACGCGGGUUAAGAGCAUGGUCAUAGUCUAGGAGCACGCCCGGUGGUCGGUACGUAUGUUGUCUCCAUGCCAAAAAUAGCCACUUGAUUAUUUUAACAAAUCCCUCUUCUGCCUCUUAGUCAUGCUCAAAUCUGAGCUACCAUGUGUCUACUGAGCUUAAAAUUACCCACAACCCACAAUAGAAGGCAAGUAUGAUAUGACAGUGUAUGUCAUGGUAAUCUAGCUUUAUAAAAUCCAAAUUGAUCACAAUAUGCACAUAGAUGUUUACAUAUUUGCAUCCAUAGCAUCACUUAUAGGAUUGUAAUUAAUAGCAACCAUGAAGAGAGUUGGUUCCUUUUAUUAUCAGCACGUCUCUUCUUCUGCAUCCUGAAGAUCUGCUAAAAUAUGAAGUGAAUUUCCUGUUUUAUCUCACAUUUACCAAUUACACAUUGAAAUAUUGUGUUUGUCAAGAGAGUUUGAUUUGUACUUUGGAAGUUUUGGGAUUGGAGACAUCACCCUUCUUGUCCGCUGCCCAACUCCGUCGCAGCCCAGGCCUAGCAGGCGAUAGAGGCACGGCGAGGACUCACUGCAAAGAAGCCAUGGGAGGAGGACCCCGACUCGGAUGACGGCUGCUGGAAGAUCACGCACUUAUUCGGCCCACAGACAGGCUCCGCUUAUGGCUUAUCCAAGGUUGGAGCUUCACCGGCGCAUGGUUGUGCUCAGAGGAGGACCGCCGAUGCCCGCCGCCGCUGUCGUCCACAUGCUCCUCCUCACGACCACGGGUGGACGUUGGCUGAGGUCUAGCCUCCCAUCCAUGCGCAGAUUAUGCAAGAAUCUGCUUGGUCUGCAUAUUAGUACCGACUAGCGAGCACAGGAACGACGACUUGGACCUGACGACUUGGACGUUGGCUGAGGUCUAGCCUCCCAUAUGCAUAUUUGACCAGUACUACAUGCGGCCCGCGAGCAAAGGUCGUCCGGCCAAUUCUGACCCCACCAGUCAUGGAUUCUUAUACCAGCCCAGUAGGGUUGUUCUCCAUCAUCCUCGUGCCCUACUGUCGAUGGGGAGGAGAGGAGCAGCGAGGCUGGAGCUCCAGACGACGCACAUGUCGCUGGGUGGAGGAGAGGCCAGCUACGGGGCGCUCCUGUCACGAUGUGGUGAGAUGCAAGGGAGGGGUAGGAUGCCGGUGACAGUAGAAGGAGCAGGCCGGUGUAGAGGGCAAGCAGCACAGGAAGAUUAAGAAGGAUAUGAAGCUUUGUAUAGUUUCAUGGAUGGGGUUUGGGUGUCCUCAUGAGAGCAGUUCAGUGCUUGCACCUCUGCAACCUCGCCAACAUGGACAAUCACUGGUCAUGAGUACAGGAUCAAGCCACGGAUAUUUACGGCACGACAUGGAGUAUUUGGUGGAACUAGCUAUGGAAGUGUGUCCCUCCAUGUUGUAGGCAGACCGUGAUAUGGUGAAUUAUUUCUUAGGCACGACACUAUGAGCUCCUGUUUUGCAGCACAUGGAUACUUUUCGGCAUAAAUGUCAUGGGUCCAUGAUGCCUUACGUACCUCUGAACCUAUGACUCUAGAGAUAAUUUAAUAUAUUUCUGGAUUGUUUCGCUCUGGUUACAAAUAUUGUAAGAUCCUCUUUCACUAACACUUUCAAGUUUCAAAUAUUGUCAAA